GUGCUCGCUGCGCUAGCACAUAUACUACAAUUGGAACAAUACGGAGAAGAUUAGCAUGACCCCGUGCAAGGAUGACACGCAAAUUCAUGAAGCGUGCCAUAAUCUU
ensembl:snRNA U6 U6 spliceosomal RNA